UAUGCAGCAUUGGCUUCAGGUGACAGC
rnacentral:piRNA from 1 species